rnacentral:rRNA from 1 species
GACGAACGCUGGCGGCGUGCUUAACACAUGCAAGUCGAACGGAAAGGCCCUGCUUUUGUGGGGUGCUCGAGUGGCGAACGGGUGAGUAACACGUGAGUAACCUGCCCUUGACUUUGGGAUAACUUCAGGAAACUGGGGCUAAUACCGGAUAGGAGCUCCUGCUGCAUGGUGGGGGUUGGAAAGUUUCGGCGGUUGGGGAUGGACUCGCGGCUUAUCAGCUUGUUGGUGGGGUAGUGGCUUACCAAGGCUUUGACGGGUAGCCGGCCUGAGAGGGUGACCGGCCACAUUGGGACUGAGAUACGGCGCAGACUCCUACGGGAGGCAGCAGUGGGGAAUAUUGCACAAUGGGCGGAAGCCUGAUGCGGCAACGCCGCGUGCGGGAUGACGGCCUUCGGGUUGUAAACUGCUUUCGCCUGUGACGAAGCGUGAGUGACGGUAAUGGGUAAAGAAGCACCGGCUAACUACGUG